UACGAAGGGGGCUAGCGUUGCUCGGAAUUACUGGGCGUAAAGGGUGCGUAGGCGGGUCUUUAAGUCAGAGGUGAAAUCCUGGAGCUCAACUCCAGAACUGCCCUUUGAUACUGAGGAUCUUGAGUUCGGGAGAGGUGAGUGAACUGCGAGUGUAGAGGUGAAAUUCGUAGAUAUUCGCAAGAACACCAGUGGCGAAGGCGGCUCACUGGCCCGAUACUGACGCUGAGGCACGAAAGCGUGGGGAGCAAACAGG
rnacentral:rRNA from 1 species